rnacentral:rRNA from 1 species
CCGACGGUGAGGGAUGAAUGCUGGGGGCGCAAACCGGAUUAGAUACCCGGGUAGUCCCAGCAGUAAACGAUGCCAGCUAUGUGUUGCUGGAACCAUGGGUUCCAGCAUGCCGAAGGAACCGUGAAGCUGGCCACCUGGGAAGUACGGUCGCAAGGCUGAAACUUAAAGGAAUUGGCGGGGGAGUACCACAACCGGUGGAGCCUGCGGUUUAAUUGGAUACAACGCCGGGAAUCUUGGCCGGAGGGGACAGCAGUAUGAAGGCCAGGCUAAAGACCUUGCCAGAUCAGCUGAGAGGAGGUGCAUGGCCGUCGCCAGUUCGUACCGUGAGGCAUCCUGUUUAGUCAGGCAACGAUCGAGACCCGCAGUCUUAUUUGCCAGCAUGCCCUUUGGGGUGUAUGGGUACAAUAAGACGACCGCCAGCGCUAAGCUGGAGGAAGGAGCGGGCUACGGUAGGUCAGCAUGCCCCGAAUCCUCCGGGAUACACGCGGGCUACAAUGGUCAGGACAAAAGGUACCGACCUCGAAAGAGUGAGGUAAUCCACAAACCUGAUCUCAGUCCGGAUCGAAGGCUGCAACUCGCCUUCGUGAAGAUGGAAUCGGUAGUAAUCGUGACUCAAAAUGUCACGGUGAAUAUGUCCCUGCUCCUUGCACUCAC